rnacentral:rRNA from 1 species
GACGAACGCUGGCGGCGUGCCUAAUACAUGCAAGUAGGACGCAGUUGCGAACGGGUGAGUAACGCGUAGGUAACUACCUAUUAGAGGGGGAUAACUAUUGGAAACGAUAGCUAAUACCGCAUACUAGUAGAUGGACAUGCGUUGUAUUAGCUAGUAGGUAGGGUAAUGGCCUACCUAGGCAACGAUACAUAGCCGACCUGGGGUGGUGAUAGGCCCAACUGGGACUCAGUAACGGCCAAGACUCCUCAGGGAGGCAGCACUAGGGAAUCUUCGGCAAUGGGGGGAACCGUGACCGAGCAACGCCGCGUGAGUGAAGAAGGUUGUCGGAUCGUAACGCUCUGUUGUUAAUGAAGCGGUACUUAACCAGAAAGGGACGGCUAACUACGUGCCAGCCGCCUCGGUAAUAC